rnacentral:rRNA from 1 species
GACGAACCGUGCGAACGUUGUUCGGAAUCACUGGGCUUAAAGGGCGCGUAGGCGGGCUGACAAGUCUGGGGUGAAAUCCCUCGGCUUAACCGGGGAACUGCGUCUGAUACUGGAUGGCUUGAGUUUGGGAGAGGGACGCGGAAUUCCAGGUGUAGCGGUGAAAUGCGUAGAUAUCUGGAGGAACACCGGUGGCGAAGGCGGCGUCCUGGACCAACACUGACACUGAUGAGCGAAAGCCAGGGGAGCAAACGGG